rnacentral:rRNA from 1 species
UACGUAGGGGGCAAGCGUUGUCCGGAUUUACUGGGCGUAAAGAGCGCGUAGGCGGAAACGCCAGUCCGGCUUGAAAGCCCCCGGCUCAACCGGGGAGAGUGGCUGGAAACUGCGUUUCUUGAGGGCGAGAGAGGAGGGUGGAAUUCCUGGUGUAGCGGUGAAAUGCGUAGAUAUCAGGAGGAACACCGGUGGCGAAGGCGGCUCUCUGGACCACAACUGACGCUGAGGCGCGAAAGCUAGGGGAGCAAACAGG